CCUACGGGUGGCAGCAGUGAGGAAUAUUGGUCAAUGGCCGGAAGGCUGAACCAGCCAUGCCGCGUGAAGGGCAGGGACCUAAGGGCGUUAAACUUCUUUUGUGCGGGAGCAAGAAUGGUCACGUGGGGCCAGACGAGAGUACCGUACGAAGAAGCAGCGGCUAACUCCGGGCCAGCAGCAGCGGUAAGACGGGGGAUGCAAGCGUUAUCCGGCUGUAUGGGGUUUCAAGGGUGCGUCUGCUGGGCGGUAAGUCAGCGGUGAAAGGCCCCAGCUCAACGGGGGGAAGUGCCAUUGAUACUGCCUUGCUGGACUGCGGCUGCCGUGGGCGGACUGUGUGGUGUAGCGGU
rnacentral:rRNA from 1 species